rnacentral:misc_RNA from 1 species
AUGGCAGAAGAAAAAACUGAAAGUGCACAUGAGCCCAACGAGCCAGAAGCAGCAGAAACUACUGAAGAGAAGAUGAAAGCAAAGCCUGAUGACAAAAGCAAGCAGAAACCUAAGCAGGAUGAGCCGACGGAAAAGCCUAAUGGACAAACCGGACAAAAUAACAACGAGAGUGGAAACUGUUACUGCGGCAAAGAGAGGAACCUGAACAUCGUAGAGCUACUUUGCGCCAGUUGCUCGCGCUGGUUUCACGAGUCCUGUAUUGGCUAUCAAUUAGGCAAACUCGUACCAUUCAUGAUGAACUAUGUGUUCAUGUGCAAGAACUGUUCUCCAACUGGUUUGGAAAGCUUCAAGAAGAACCAGGCACCGUUUCCACAGAUGUGCGCGACAGCAAUCGCGAAUCUGCUACAGAUGUGCCAAAAGGAGGGCGAGCAAAGAGCCCUCUUCCACAAGGACAAAGACAUAAUACCGUUCAUCGAUUGUCAUUGGGAGAGCAUGACCACGAUGCCUCGCAGAGUCACCCAAUCCUGGCACGCUACGGUUCAUAGGGCGUUACUCAAAGAUGUCGGAACGCUGUUUACGGUGGAUGAAAGCGCGUCCGAGGGUCAGCUCUUCGGCCUGGCGAGCUUUGAACUCACGUCGAUUAAGCCAAACUACGAAGCGAUGAUUAAAAAUGGUCACCUUCGAGCUACGGAGAUGGGACUGCAACAUGUCGUGCCACUUAGUGGAGGUUUACGAGGUCGUAACGCCAAGCGGAAGUUCCCGGGCGAGGCUGCGGGCGCAGGCUCCGGAAAGAAAGGCAGAGGAUCCGACAUGACCACUCCUAAGUUACCUGCUCACGGCUAUCCGCUUGAGCAUCCCUUCAACAAAGACGGCUACAGAUAUAUCCUGGCAGAACCAGAUCCUCACGCGCCUUUCAGACAGGAAUUCGACGAGAGCAGUGACUGGGCUGGUAAACCUAUACCAGGAUGGCUUUACCGCGCUCUCAGUCCGAGUACGGUGCUGCUUGCAUUGCACGACCGCGCGCCACAGCUCAAAGUGGCCGAGGAUAGACUGGCAGUCACCGGGGAAAAAGGAUAUUGCAUGAUCAGAGCCACACACAGUGUAAGUAGGGGCACUUGGUAUUGGGAGGCUACAAUCGAGGAAAUGCCGGAGGGAUCCGCGACGAGACUCGGGUGGGGACAAGAGUACGCGAAUCUGCAGGCACCUCUCGGUUAUGACAAAUUUGGUUACUCAUGGAGAUCCAGGAAGGGUACGCGAUUCCACGAAAGUCGAGGCAAACAUUAUAGUAACAAUUACAGCGAGGGCGAUACCUUGGGCUUUCUCAUAGCCUUGCCGGAUACGCAUGACGCAUCGCACAUUCCGAAUACUUAUAAAGACAGACCCUUGGUGAAGUUCAAGAGUCAUCUGUAUUACGAAGAGAAAGACCAGGUACAGGAGGCCCUCAAGGCUCUGCGACCACUGGCUGGCAGCAAGAUCGUGUACUAUAAGAACGGCGUUAACCAAGGCGUUGCAUUUGUUGACAUCAACAAAGGUGCUUACUACCCUGGCAUCUCCAUUUAUAAGAGCGCAACAGUGUCGGUGAAUUUCGGGCCGAAUUUUAAAUCCCCGCCAACCGAUGUUACAUUCAGAGGUAUGCAUGAGAAAGCGGAGGAGGCAAUAGCCGAGCAAUCAAUGGCAGACAUGCUUUACCUCACCGAGAACGAAGGGAAACUAAGAUUGGACACGUUCGUGUUGUGACAUUAGUGUAUCUUUUUAUUUUCCUCAUUUUUCCUCGUUUUCUGCAUUAUGCCGUUACAAUUGCAGGAUUUGGCACAACGUAUGAUCUGAAUCAAAGGAAAAGGUCAAAAUCUUGGGAGUUUUUAUCAGCAUUUAUUUGCAACUUUAUCACAAACAUUUCAAUAUUUUCCAUCAACAAAUUACGUCUUAAAUACAACUGAUCAUCAUAUUGUUCAGCACAAAAGUCUGCAAUUAACGAAUUCAGUGCAACUGCAAUUUCUGAGGUAAUACUCGAGAAAAUAAAUCGUGAAGUUCACGUAUAGUUAAUAAAAAAAAUUAAUAUUUAAAAUAUUUCAGUUAAAAGUUUUCAAAUAAUUAUUGAUAAUUUUAUUGAACUGAAUUCUCAAGUUUUUGAUGGAUGUUUGAUUUGUACUUUGAUUAUAAUUGUACAAAAUUAAAAUAUUUUUUAUUUAUCCAUUUCUGUUCAUAUACAAAAGUAAGCAAGUGUACAUCUCGUAUGUGUGCGCAUGCAUGUGUGUGCAAUGAUCUCAUCCAAUAAAAAAAAAA